GACGAACGCUGGCGGCGUGCUUAACACAUGCAAGUCGAACGCGCCUGUCCUCUGGGUUUCUGGGGGGUGGGUGAGUGGCGAACGGGUGAGUAACACGUGAGUAACCUGCCCCCUUCUUCGGGAUAACGGUCUGAAAGGGCUGCUAAUACCGGGUAUUCACUGGUCUCCGCAUGGGGUCUGGUGGAAAGGUUUUUUUCUGGUGGGGGAUGGGCUCGCGGCCUAUCAGCUUGUUGGUGGGGUGAUGGCCCACCAAGGCUUUGACGGGUAGCCGGCCUGAGAGGGUGACCGGUCACAUUGGGACUGAGAUACGGCCCAGACUCCUACGGGAGGCAGUAGUGGGGAAUAUUGCACAAUGGGCGCAAGCCUGAUGCAGCGACGCCGCGUGAGGGAUGGAGGCCUUCGGGUUGUGAACCUCUUUCGCCCGUGGUCAAGCCGCGACGUGGGUCGUGGUGAGGGUAGUGGGUAAAGAAGCGCCGGCUAACUACGUG
rnacentral:rRNA from 1 species